GGGGCCGUAGUCUAGCCAGGACUAGGAUGCCAGCCUGGGGCGCUGGUGGUACCGGGUUCAAAUCCCGGCGGCCCCA
rnacentral:tRNA from 1 species